CUGACUGAGUUCUGGGAGGAUGCGUUCAGCUGCAGCCUGACAGAAAGUUCCAGUCUCCGUUUGCUCAGAGAGUUGUCUUCCAGGAACUCGUAAAGUGUUGCAGAAAGGAAAACCAAUCUGCUGCUAUGACUGUAUACCAUGUCCUGAAGGAGAGAUCAGUAAUAUGACAGAUUCUCCUGACUGCUUCCCUUGUCCCAGAGAGUUCUGGCCAAAUUCAAACAGAG